rnacentral:tRNA from 1 species
GUUUUAAUAGUUUAACUAAAACAUUGGUCUUGUAAACCAAAAUUGACUUUUGUCUUAUAACU